GAUGAAGAACGCAGCGAAAUGCGAUAAGUAAUGUGAAUUGCAGAAUUCAGUGAAUCAUCGAAUCUUUGAACGCACAUUGCGCCCGCUGGUAUUCCGGCGGGCAUGCCUGUUCGAGCGUCAUUUCAACCCUCAAGCUCUCCGGAGUUUGGUGUUGGGGCGCCUGGGGCUUUUCGACCUCAGGGCCCUCAAGUCCAUCGGCGGGACCGCCAGGACACUGAGCGCAGUAGUAUUAUUUCGCUCGGUAGGAUCUUCCACGGCGGGUCGAUCUGGCCGCUAAACCCCCCAAUUCUCACCAAAGGUUGACCUCGGAUCAGGUAGGAAUACCCGCUGAACUUAAGCAUAUCAAUAGCGGAGGA
rnacentral:misc_RNA from 1 species